rnacentral:rRNA from 1 species
UGACGACCGGCGCACGGGUGCGGAACGCGUAUGGAACCUGCCCCUGUCAGGGGAAUAGCCCAGAGAAAUUUGGAUUAAUGCCCCAUGGUACCACCGAAUCGCAUGAUUUGGUGGUUAAAGAUUUAUCGGACAGGGAUGGCCAUGCGUGCCAUUAGCUUGUUGGUAAGGUAACGGCUUACCAAGGCAACGAUGGUUAGGGGCCCUGAGAGGGGGAUCCCCCACACUGGUACUGAGACACGGACCAGACUCCUACGGGAGGCAGCAGUGAGGAAUAUUGGACAAUGGCCGAAAGGUUGAUCCAGCCAUGCCGCGCGCAGGAUGACGGCCCUAUGGGUUGUAAACUGCUUUUGUACGGGAAGAAACCACCCCUCGUGAGGGGAACUGACGGUACCGUACGAAUAAGGACCGGCUAACUCCGUGCCAGCAGCCGCGGUAAUACGGAGGGUCCGAGCGUUAUCCGGAAUUAUUGGGUUUAAAGGGUCCGUAGGCGGGCCUAUAAGUCAGGGGUGAAAGGCCACGGCUCAACCGUGGGACUGCCCUUGAUACUGUAGGUCUUGAGUCGUUGUGGGGUUGCCGGAACAUGUGGUGUAGCGGUGAAAUGCAUAGAUAUCACAUAGAACACCGAUCGCGAAGGCAGGUGACCAACAACGUACUGACGCUGAUGGACGAAAGCGUGGGUAGCGAACGGGAUUAGAUACCCCGGUAGUCCACGCCGUAAACGAUGGAUACUAGCUGUCGGGUCUUCGGACUCGGCGGCCAAGCGAAAGUGAUAAGUAUCCCACCUGGGGAGUACGUUCGCAAGAAUGAAACUCAAAGGAAUUGACGGGGCCCGCACAAGCGGUGGAGCAUGUGGUUUAAUUCGAUGAUACGCGAGGAACCUUACCAGGCUUAA